UACGUAGGGUGCGAGCGUUGCCCGGAUUUAUUGGGCGUAAAGGGCGCGUAGGCGGCCACGCACGUCCGUUGUGAAAUCGCCCGGCUCAACUGGGCGGGGUCAGCGGAUACGGUGUGGCUCGAGCAAGCUAGGGGGCAAUGGAAUUCCCGGUGUAGUGGUGGAAUGCGUAGAUAUCGGGAGGAACACCAGUGGCGAAGGCGGUUGCCUGGAGCUUUGCUGACGCUGAGGCGCGGAAAGCGUGGGGAGCGAUCCGG
rnacentral:rRNA from 1 species